CCUCGCAAAGACAUCAUUAGGCUGCCAAACCAUUCUGUCUCUCGCAAUGCUUGCAUAAGUGCAAGUGUUACUUCUCCACCAAAAAUUUCACCACCUGUAACAAUCUCUCCUCCUAUUUUACCCUCCAAGGAUGAAAUACAAAAUGUAGAAAGUUGUAAUGAAGUAAUCGAUGCUGAGAUAAAGUUUCAAAAGAUUGUGAAAGGGAUUGACCUCAAGUUACCCCUUCUUCAAGUGCCUCAUCAAAGUCUAUUGUAACUGAUCAGGUCUCUCCAGCCAUUGCAAGCGGGGAAGUUGCCUAUGAUGAUGACUGGGAAGAGGAUUCCAACACUUCUUCUAAUACCAGUGGCUCCCAAAAUUCCUGCCACAAGAGAGUAAAUGGUAGCUCUGAGUCAAUCAAUUUUAAACGUAAGUGCAUCUCAUCUAAUUGUGUUGUCCAGAUAUUUUUUUUGUUUUUGAUUUCUUAUACUGGGACCCGUUUUAGUUAAACAAAAUGCGGCAUCCAACCAAGCUUGUCGUCAAACUUGUUAUUCUCUUUGCCCUCGUCAAGACCGUCUCCCAGUGAAAGAAAAGCAAAGCUCGUAGUGUUAUAAUCUAUAAAAUUCAGGUUGGCAGCUGUGAUAAUUAUACUACAUAACAAUGUUUGCUGUUGAAAUGAGCCAUUUUGUGCAACCAUGCUCUUUUGAAUGUUAACGAGAGUCAACUAAAGUCAAGCAAGAUGAAAGCUCUUGUAGGUAGCAGUGAAGAUCUUUCAAAUUUUUCUGAUGGGUUAAGUAGAAAAACAAAGGAGACAAUGCUUUAAUGAGCAAGUUCUAAUUAUCACACUCACAAAAUUACAUGAAAUAAAGCUAAUCAUUGAAAACGUCUGCUGAACAUUGUAUAGCCAUACUAUUUUACAUAGUUUCUGAUAAGUUUGGGCUCUCUUUACAAAGCGAGUAAUUUUCAUUUGCUUUUUUUUCAGCUGAAAAACCUGAACCUGUUGAAGCA
rnacentral:lncRNA from 1 species